ensembl:lncRNA
CUGUAUUGAUCAAUGUGAUGUGAAGAAUGAGGAAAAAUGAAAAGGUGUUGGCUCAAAGAUUUCUGCUUUUACACAGUAGGUACUUAGGUUGUUUAGCAGGGAGCAGGAAUAUGGGGGUUGAGAGCUAUAUGGGGGGGUGGAGGAUACAUUUUAUUUUAGACAUGGUAAGUUUAAAGUGACUUCAAAAGGCAAGAAGUUUAGAAAACAGUUUAGAAGGCAUGCUAAAAGAAAGGGAAUAGGUGAAAAAGUCUUAAAAUGAUUCUUAAGCAUCCUUGAUCAGAAUCAUCUGGUGUUCUUGUUAGACAUGUGAAUCCAUCAGUUCAGUUCAGCCAUGUCUCAGCCAUGUCUGACUCUUUGCCACCCCAUGGACUGCAGCACACCAGGCUUCCCUGUCCAUCACCAACUCCCGGAGCUUGCUCAAACUCAUGUCCAUCGACUUGGUGUUGCCAUCCACCAUCUCAUCUUCUGUCAUCCCCUUCUCCUCCUGUUUGUGUGAAUCCACAGGUCCCUUUCAAAUCCCACUGAUAAUACCUAGCUAGCAGGACUUAAGGAAUUGCCUUUUAAGAAUUCUUCCUAGGUGAUACUUAUGCAUAUAAGAAUCUUUGGUUUCUGGAAAACCUGUAAGUCUCCAAUUCUGGCUGUGCAUUAGAAUCAUCUUGGGAACUUUAAAAAAUGGUGAUGCCUAGGCUUCACCCCCAAGAAAUUUUAACUUCAUUGGUCUCAGGUAGGGCUACAGCUUCAGCCUGUUUAAAAAUGACCCCUCAGGUGAUUGUAAUUUGCAGCUUAGUGCUAAGAAAAGUGCCCCAGGUGAUUCUUAUUUGGAACUGCAAACAAAAAGGGCAAAGAAUACUUGAAGGCUGUAGGAAGAACCUGAAAAUCCAAAAAGGAUUUCUAUAGAAGACAGAAAUGAAGUUAUCUGGAAGUCAGGUUUUUUCUUAUUGUUCAGUUGCUAAGUCAUGUCUGACUCGGUGAUCCCAUGGACUGUAUCCUGCCAGGCUUCUCUGUCCAUGGAAUCCUCCAGAUUUAUUAUACCUUAGUGUCUAGUAGCAGAGAAGGCAAUGGCACCCCACUCCAAUAUUCUCGCCUGGAAAAUCCCAUGGACGGAGGAGCCUGUCCUUCAGGUUGACAGGACCGCAGCCCAGGCCACAGUCUAUGUGAUGCCCCUGUAUCCUUGUCACACUCGGCACUGGUGCCACCUUUACACACUAAACGGAAGGACUGAUGCUGAGGCUGAAGCUGCAGUACCUUGGCCACCUGAUGAGAAGAACUGACUCAUUGGAAAAGACUCUGAUGCUGGGAAAGAUUGGAAGGCGGGAGGAGAAGGGGAUGACAGAGGAUGAGAUGGUUGGAUGGCAUCACCGACUCGAUGGACAUGAGUUUGGGUAAACUCCAGGAGUUGGUGAUGGACAGGCAUGCUGCAGUCCAUGGGGUUACAAAGAGUGGGACACGACUGAGCGACUGAACUGAACUUACACACUAUAAGGACACACCGGUCAAAAACAUUGCACUUACAGAUUCCUAUUUGACAUUUACUCUUUAUAAUUUGAGAGCACAAAUUGUUUCUAUAUUGAAAAAACUAAUUCAGUCUUUAUGUAAUAGCUAGUGUUUUCAAUCAUGGAAGGAAAAAUAUGAUAAAAAUAAAGAACAUGAAAUAAAAAGAAAACCAACAUAGUUUGAACGCUUCUCCUGUUGGACAUGUUAAUUUUUCAAGAGGCAAAAACAAACAGCAUGAGCCCUUCCACACUUCAAUUUCCACAUUUGUGAAAUGAAGUAAGAACACUUAACUCCUAGAGUUAUAGUAAAGAUAUGAUGGCUAUAUGUGUGUGUGUGUGUGUAUGUAUAAAUGCUCAAUUGUGUAUAAAUCAUGUGCAUAGUCCCUGCUAUAUAUGAGACAUUCACAUAUGGCACCUAUUGUGAUGACUAUUAUGACUUUAAAUAAUCUUAAUUAUCUAGGAACUAGCCAUCUGAAUUUUCAAAUAUGAAAAAGGGCAAGGAUGUAAUUAAAAAAAAAACAACAACAAUGACAGAUGCUAGGAGUUCUCAUCUACCACAAACUGUUGAAAAGAUAAAAAAGCCAGAAUUAGAGUAUUAUGCUCAAUGAAUGCAUUGGGCUUGCCCAUUGUAACCUGUGGUUGGACAGUUAGUUAGAUAACUGUGUCAACAGUCAACUUGUAUCACAGAAAGCCACAAAGCAUGGGAAACAAAAAGGCAGAAUAAAUAAAAAUAUGGAAAAGAUCAACAAAUAGCAGAAUUUGUCAUCAUAGGAAAAUGUCAAUGACUUAUUGAUGUUUUUAAUAAACAUUUUUUUUAUAACAUUGAAUGGUUUCCAGUUUUCAGGCAUUACCAGAAAUAUCUACUGUGAAUACACAGAGUAAGCUCCCUGGUGCAUAAUGUUGAGGCUUUCUAAUGAAUGUAUAUGUGUGAAUAUGCUGUUUCCUAGGAUAUACAUAGUUUCAACUUUUAAAAAUAUGCAUCAAUUUUAUAUAUUUAGAGUUCCUUUUGAUACAUGUCCUCCAUAACAAUUGGCAUUGUCCUAAUUUAAAAUUUGUGUGAUGUAGCAUGUGUAAAAUAAAAUCUCAUUGUGAUUUUAAUUUGCUUUUCCCUAAUACUGAUGCAGUCCAAUGCUUUCUGGAAGUUUAUGGGUCCCUCAUGUUUGCCAUUCUGUGAAAUCCUUGUUUAUAUCAUCUGUCUUUUUUUCUAUAAAUAAAUGAAUAUUUGUGUCUGGAUUCACAGAAAUCACUUAAGCAUUCUGUGUAUUAAUUCUUUUCUCCUAUUUGUGUGACAUGUCUCUCAUGUUGUGGCUUAGGUUUUCAAUUUGUGGGGAUGUUUGAUGAACAGAAGUCCUUGAUUUUAAUGUAAUCCCAUUUAUUUAUCUUUUAUGUUUUGCACUUGUGUCCAGCUCAAGAAAUAUGUUCACAUCUUAAGGCGGUUAAAGCAUCUUCUUUAAUUUCAAAUGAUUUUCAAGUUUUGCUCCUUAACAUUUAAGUCUCAAUCUAUCUGGAAGUAACUUUUGUAUAUAGUGAGAAGUAGGGAUCCAGUCUCAUUUUAUCAGUAUUUUCCAAUACAGGGAAUUAAUUUUCCUUGCAAAAUUUACUAACUAGUUCACCCUUUUCUUAGUGAUGUGUUAGUCACUCAGUCAUGUCUGACUCUUUGCCAGCCCAUAGACUAUAAUCCGCCAGGCUCCAUCCAUGGAGCUCUCCAGGCAAAAAUACUGGAUUGGGUGGCCAUUCCCUUCUCCAGGGGAUCUUCCUGACCCAGGGAUUGAACGUGAGACUCCUGCACUGCAAGCAUUGCAGGCAGAUUCUUUACUAUCUGAGCCACCAAAGAAGCCCUUUUAGUGAUAUACAGGAACAAAAUAAGUAUAUACAUAUGUCUAUACAUAUGUGUGAAUCAUUUCCUAUGAUUUUUGAUGUUUCUAUUGGAUUCCCCCAACCCCCCACCGAUCUCUGCACUAAGGUUCCACACUCCUAAUUUACGUGGCCCUGGAGAAGGAAAUGGCAACCCACUCCAGUGUUCUUGCCUGGAGAAUCCCAGGGAAGGUGGAGCCUGAUGGGCUGUCGUCUUUGGGGUCGCACAGAGUCAGACACGACUGAAGCGACUUAGCAGCAGCAGCAGCAAGAACAUCUUGGUGUCUGUUAGCAAAGUCACUCCCUUACCUUAUUCUAUGUCUGUAGUGCCUUGAAUACUGUCAAUUAUUUGCUCUUUUUAAAUAUGCUUUGAAAUAAACUUGUCAAGUUCAUGAAUAACUCUGUUGUGAUUUUCAUAGGAAUUGCAUUGGAUUAAUAGAUGACUAUAUGAAAACUUCAUCCUUGUGUUAGUCUUUGAAUCCCAAAACAUAAUAUCUCUAUUUUCAGUUUCUUAAAUGUUACCAAUAAACUUGAUUUUUUCAUAGCAGUAAUGCAUUUUUUAAAUGUGUUCCCAAGUACUCUACAAUAUGGAUACCAUCUUUUAGUUAUAUUUUUUAAUUUGUUUAUUUCAUUCUCUAACUGGUAUAGAGAAGUGCAAUUGAUUUUUGCUUAUUGAUUUUGCAUCACUUGUAUUAAAUUAAAUUAUCCUGUAGUAACAAC